rnacentral:lncRNA from 1 species
AUCAUCUUCAACUCUUGCCUUGGUAAAUGCAAAUAUUCUUGGAGUAGAUUGGCCCAAGCCAUGUAUAUUAACAAAUAGAAUAAACUCAAAUCAAGAUUCAUCUCCACAUGAUUAAACUAUUGCAAAAUUAGAUUUAUUUAACAAUAACUUACCACCCACCAAUCAUAACUUCAAACAUUGUUGCAAAUUCUAGCUAGCUAUAUCUCUGUGUAAUUAUGAAUAAAUCAACCCUCUCUUUUAUUAGCUCCUUAGCUAUGGGCAAUCUUUUUUUCCUGGUAUGAAAAAAGUAACUUCUAUUAUCAAAUGAGAAAAACAUUAUAGAAAAACAUAUUAAAAUAAAUAGCUCCAAAUCCCAUAUUUUUUCGAAAUUCACUCUUAUGUAAUUGAUCCUAUGCCACCUUGAGGGGUGCGGAGUAAGCAUGCAACGCCCUCGGUUCGAUCGCCUACAAACACCAAUAAUGUUUGAAUUGGGCUAUAGUCUGCAAUCAUAAAUACGUAUGUUAUUAAUUGGAGGUGCAAAGAUAUGAAAAAUAAGAACAUCCUACAAAUGAUAUUUCAUCUGCUUGUUCAGCAAUAUUUCCAACAUGACAUAUUUUCUUGGAUUUUUCAAAGAGCUUAGCUGAUCUUGGAUUCAAACACAAAUGUUGCCAGUAAUGCGAGAAAUUUGUCAACUAAUGUAAGAAAAUACAUACUCAAGUAAAUCAGAAAUACAAACUAAGAUAAUGGCUUCACAAAUAUGAUCUAAGAAUUGACAAAUAUGAUGUUGAAUGUGAGAACUUUAGUGUCAAAAAUUGAAAAUCAGAAAGACCUCAAUCCAUGAUGUGUAUAAAUACCUUUAUUUACACUUUCAGAACAUAUGACAGCUUAACUUGCCACAUAUAGAAUGAAAAUUUUGAUAAAUAAUCAAAAAAAUAUGUUAUGGGAUUGUAUCAAUUACAUCAAAUUGUUUAGACAAACUGAAUAAGAAAAACCAUCAGAUUCAACAAAAUAAAAGAUGAUUAUGUGUUGGAAAAUAUUAACACCAGUUCACUUGGAAGAUAUAACUUACGACAAUUGAUAUCUUUAUCAAUGGUCUUCCACUUCAAUCCCCUAUGCUCCACUCUUGUAAAGAUAUGUAAAUCGCCAUCUGUACAGAUUUCAAUUGACCAUAAAAUAGUAGUUCCAAAUUCUCAUAGGUAAACAUUACACCACACAUUUCACAUUAAAAAAUUAAUUCUGAAUGCUUUAGCAGGCAUGAUAAAUUGCAAUUGUUUCGACCGAAAUUCACAAGCAAAUAUACGAAGCCACAAUUAUAAAUCAAAUCGUAAGAUGUAAGAAAGCCAAGAAAGUCCUCUCCAUAUACAUGUAGCAGAAAUCAAAAUCUUAAUUCUAAAAACAAAUUGCGGGAUAUAAGCAUCGGUGUGCGAAAUUCUUCCAACCUCACCAAGGAACCCUUCCAACCAGAUUAGAACCAUCGAGAAUAGUCGUUAAACAGUGCUUCAAAUUCGAAAACAAUUGCAGAAAAAAUGAAUAGCAGUUGGAGAAUCGAUAUGCUUAAGAGAAAUAGUAGUCGUUCCAAAGCGUGAUGGAUGAAAGAACCACAGAGUUCCUCACAGAAUGAAAUUGGAAAAAACAUGGUUUACAAAGGGGAGGAAUAACAGCACAAAGACAGGAGCCGCACACUAUAAUAAACAGAUAGUGAAUAUGGUUUGCCUAACCAUUUUCUUCCAUAUCCAUAUUCUUUAUCUUCUUACGAUUUAGAAUCUUGACAACAACUUUGUGCCCUGUGCAUGUUCAGCAAUUUUAACUUUGCCAAAUGAACCAAUCCCAAGAGUCUUCCCAAGUUUGUAGUUCCGUAAGAAAGAAUCCACAUUGUUGCCAUCUUGGUUUAAUCCAUCCAUAAUCCUAAAAUGACACAAUUUCAGAUAUUUGAAGCAGUGUGUAUAGAUAAAGCCAUGCAUACGACCUUAAUUCAUAAACCACGUCUCAAGAAAGCAACAACUAUGUUAAGAUUGAUAGCAGCAAGUAACUAUCCUUAAUAACAUUACUAUGGGCAAAGAAAUCAAGCAAAAUUGGCAAUAGAAAGAGACGUCACAAUAAACCAUUAAGUAAAUUCAUGUGUCCAGAAUCCAUCUCCUUGAUAGCAAAAAUUACAAAUUAUAAGCACAUAAGAAUCAAUCAUUAGAGGUAUAUAUGGACACUUCAAGGAGCAGAAUACAUAUGUAAAAUACUAUUCUUUCAACUUUAUGUUCUAAAAUCAUUAAAACAUUAGUCCAACAGUUAUGUGUGAAGAGUGAAACACCACUAAAAAGAGCACUAAAAUAAAAGAGAUAAUAUAAUCCUUGAACCAUAGCUGCCACUGCACCAGAGAAAUACACGAACAUGGCACCCUUACAAUCGGCGAAUCCGCCACACAUGGAGGGCUGCAUCAGCCGAAGUUCUACGUUGCAGUAUUUCAAGAUGAUAAACAUUGAACCACCAUGUUUGAUGUUGGUUGUCUUCAAACCAAAAUCUGAUCUUGAUUUUAAAAACCCAAUUUCAAAAUUUCAAUUUAAAUUUUAAUUAACACACGAAAAUAUUGAAAUUGAAAUUAGUACCAGCACUUUUAGAAACACUUCUCUAAUUUCUGAUGCAGUGGCCCUCAAUGUCUGUACAGACACACACUCACAUGUGAAUUCAAAUAUGUUGAAUAAGAGAUUAAGAAUAGAAACAGAGAAAGAGAGCGAGCGAGAGAGAGAGAGAGAGAGAGAGAGAGAGAGAGAGAGGUUUGCUUUUACCAUUUUGGGCGACGUUGGUCUGAGGCGGCGGCGUUAGGGCAGCGACUGACGACCGAGAAAUGGCGACCGAGUUUUCGAUUGAGUUUGGUGAGCGAUGGAACAGCGAGGAGCGGUUACGGAAUCUGGAAAAAAGUUGACGAAAGGGGUUUCAGAAAUUGGGAAUUUUUCUUUAAAAUCAUGGGAGAAGAAUCAAAUCAUAAAGAAUAGAAACAGAGAGAGAGAGUAGAAGAAACUAAUUGGUUUUGCUUUUACCAUUUUGGGCAAUGUUGGUAUGAGGCGGUGGCGCUAGGGCGACAGUUGAAGAACCGAGAAACGACGGCCGAAUCUUCGAUUAAGUUUGGUGAGCAAUGGAUCGGCGAGAAGCGGUUAUGGAAUCCGAAAUAGAAGAGUUGAUGAAAAGAGUUUCAGAUGUUGAGUUGUGGGAGAAAAGAAUCCAAUCGUGCUUAAUAAGAAUUAGAGAGAACGUGUGAGAGAUAAAAUAUGGCGCUAAAAUUUUGCAGUUAAACUGGUGUUUUAUAUAAUAUAUAGAUGGUGGCAUAUCUAUUUUUUCUUCUAGAUUAACUCUUCAACAAGGGAUCUUUGUAAGUAGGGAGGUGGUCUUGCACAUAUGCUAGUUUUGUUCAAAUGUGUAUUUUCUUGCUAUGUGAUAGGCUAUGUUUAUCAACAACAAUCCAACCUUUUCAUAAGAAAUUCAUUUCUCCUAAAUAAAAAAAAUAACAAAUUCAUUUCUCCCUGUUUUUC